UACGGAGGGUGCAAGCGUUAAUCGGAUUUAUUGGGCGUAAAGAGCACGUAGGCGGAGUGGAAAGUUAGAUGUGAAAUCCCGAGGCUCAACUUCGGACACGCAUUUAAAACUCCCAUUCUAGAGGAUGGAAGGAGAAAAGGGAAUUCCACGUGUAGCGGUGAAAUGCGUAGAUAUGUGGAAGAACACCGGUGGCGAAGGCGCUUUUCUAUUUUAUUCCUGACGCUGAGGUGCGAAAGCAAGGGGAGCAAACAGG
rnacentral:rRNA from 1 species